rnacentral:rRNA from 1 species
AGAGUUUGAUCAUGGCUCAGGAUGAACGCUGGCGGCGUGCCUAACACAUGCAAGUCGAGCGAUUCUCUUCGGAGAAGAGCGGCGGACGGGUGAGUAACGCGUGGGUAACCUGCCCUGUACACACAGAUAACAUACCGAAAGGUAUGCUAAUACGAGAUAAUAUGCUUUUACCGCAUGGUAGAAGUAUCAAAGCUCCGGCGGUACAGGAUGGACCCGCGUCUGAUUAGCUAGUUGGUAAGGUAACGGCUUACCAAGGCGACGAUCAGUAGCCGACCUGAGAGGGUGAUCGGCCACAUUGGAACUGAGACACGGUCCAAACUCCUACGGGAGGCAGCAGUGGGGAAUAUUACACAAUGGGCGAAAGCCUGAUGCAGCAACGCCGCGUGAGCGAUGAAGGCCUUCGGGUCGUAAAGCUCUGUCCUCAAGGAAGAUAAUGACGGUACUUGAGGAGGAAGCCCCGGCUAACUACGUGCCAGCAGCCGCGGUAAUACGUAGGGGGCUAGCGUUAUCCGGAUUUACUGGGCGUAAAGGGUGCGUAGGUGGUUUCUUAAGUCAGGAGUGAAAGGCUACGGCUCAACCGUAGUAAGCUCUUGAAACUGGGAAACUUGAGUGCAGGAGAGGAAAGUGGAAUUCCUAGUGUAGCGGUGAAAUGCGUAGAUAUUAGGAGGAACACCAGUAGCGAAGGCGGCUUUCUGGACUGUAACUGACACUGAGGCACGAAAGCGUGGGGAGCAAACAGGAUUAGAUACCCUGGUAGUCCACGCCGUAAACGAUGAGUACUAGGUGUCGGGGGUUACCCCCCUCGGUGCCGCAGCUAACGCAUUAAGUACUCCGCCUGGGGAGUACGCUCGCAAGAGUGAAACUCAAAGGAAUUGACGG